rnacentral:rRNA from 1 species
AUUGAACGCUGGCGGCAGGCCUAACACCUGCAAGUCGAGCGGAGCGGCGGACGGGUGAGUAAUGCCUAGGAAUCUGCCUGGUAGUGGGGGAUAACGUCCGGAAACGGGCGCUAAUACCGCAUACUAUCAGAUGAGCCUAGUUCGACUGAGCUAGUUGGUGGGGUAAAGGCCUACAAAGGAGACGAUCCGUAACUGGUCUGAGAGGAUGAUCAGUCACAAUGGAAUGGAGACACGGUCCAGACUCCGACGGGAGGCAGCAGUGGGGAAGAUUGGACAAGGGGCGAAAGCCUGAUCCAGCAGUGCCGCGUGUGGGAAGAAGGUCUUCGGAUGGUAAAGCACUGUAAGUUGGGAGGCGUUACCAACAGAAUAAGCACCGGCUAACGUCGUGCCAGCAGCCGCGGUAAUAC